GCUUGGCUUGCCUGUAGUCACAGCUACUUGAGAGGCUGAGGUAAGAGGAUCAUCUGAGCCCAGGAGUUCUGGACUGUGGUGAGCUAUGCUAUCGGAUGUUGUACUAAGCUUGGCAUUGAUAUGGUGACCUCCAGGGAGUGACUGGGGGACUACUAGGUUGCCUAGGGAGGAGUGAACUGGCCCAGGUUGGAAAUGAAACAGUUCAAAACUUCCACGCUGAUCAGUAGUGGGAUUGCACCUGUGAAUAGCUACUGCACUCCAGCCUGGGCAACAUAGUGAGAACCUGUCCUUU
ensembl:misc_RNA Metazoa_SRP Metazoan signal recognition particle RNA